rnacentral:sRNA from 12 species
UACCUAAUCCCUAAAUCAAUAGGACACGGUAUAUAAAUCCAUCCCUGGUAGAAAGCUCCUCGUCGGAGCACCAGGGAUGGUCAUAUCCCGAAAGGGGUGUGGGUGAUCGAAAGGUCAUC